rnacentral:lncRNA from 13 species
AUGACCAUGUUGAUGACACUUCAGUCUGCUUGUGGAAAGCAUGGACUUUUCUUUCAAUACAGUAUCAGGAAUAUGUACACUUUGUUUAAUCUAUUUACUUUUUGUUCUAUUAUAGACUCUGAUUUGGGGAACCUAGAUGCGGUGCUUGUUAAGAAGACAACCUUGAGUCCUUGCUCUCAUCACCUUCACCAUCAAUUUGGGGAAGCUCAGAAGAUAUAAGUUACAGCCCCCGGAAGUCAAGCCUAGCCCCACUGGAUGAUGUCCAGCUUUGCCGGAGUUAGAGAGGUGAGUUCCAGCUUUCUCGUUUCUCAAUGAAAGAAAAUGUUAUACCAGGUGGGUUAACGUAGUCCAAAAAGACUAACCAGCCAGACGAGGAUGCUGAACAAAACCAAACAGUUCAAAGGAAAUUGUAGUGUUACUAGACACCUCCGCAGUGAGCCUGAGCUUUCAAGAAAGAGACAAGCAGGCAUUUCUGUCUGCAUUUUCCAGGUCGUAUUUCUCUAGUUAGCAAAGUGGGUUUGCUGCAAGACAAUAGCAUUUACCUUCCCUGGCUGAGCUUUCUGUGGGCAAAACACAAUGAAUAUGACAGAAAUAUGCUGUCCGGGUGAAGGGGGAAAAAAAGCAAUUUCACCCACCCUACUAUGUCUCUGCCAAUGUCAUCUUUGUCAAUGUUCCCACUUCUCUUCUCUGAGCAUUUCUUGGUGAAGCUUUCGUUAGAAGUUAACCUUAUUCUCCAGCCUGGUGAGUUCCCUUCUCUUCUCCGGGUCCUUCCUGCCUCAUUUUCUAACGUCAUGCUCUCCUUAAAAAUAGGCUAUGAGAGCUAUUUCUAACCUCCAUCAAGGGAUCCGUCCAACCAGACUCCCACGGGAUGUGAGAAUGCGCUCAAACUGAUCCCAAAGAAGAAAGGGGACAAACAAGGUUGGCUUAUUCCCAGACUCAGUUUAAAAAAAAAAAAAAAAAAAAAGUCUUUUGGGUCAAGUGAGAUAUUUGAGUCCCCUCCCUAGAAGGGAAAUAGCAAUAUGGUUCUCCUUAAACACCACCUAAAACCCUACCCCAAAGAAGAGACCAAAUCGUAUCCUGGCAGAAUCACAGCAGCCUGGGGAUUAGAAGCAGCUUUGGAGUCUGUUCCACCCCCAUCAUCUAAUUGCUUUGUGAAUAUCGGCCAUUCGCUGGGCCUUUCUGGACAUCAGUUUCUCCAUCCAUGAAAUGGACAUAGUAG